rnacentral:rRNA from 1 species
UACGGAGGGUGCGAGCGUUGUCCGGAAUCACUGGGCGUAAAGGGCGCGUAGGCGGCGCGACAAGUCAGUGGUGAAAGCCCGAGGCUCAACUUCGGGUCGGCCACUGAUACUGUCGGGCUCGAGCACUGUAGAGGCAGGUGGAAUUCCGGGUGUAGCGGUGGAAUGCGUAGAGAUCCGGAAGAACACCGGUGGCGAAGGCGGCGACCUGGACAGAUAUUGACGCUGAGGUGCGAAAGCGUGGGGAGCAAACAGG